CAGGUUCCAGUCCAUUAAAGGACUGCAACAAGUGGCGCCCGAAAAAGGGACCUGGUACAUGUGGCAUUUCGGAUGGAGUGACUCAGGACCUAUUGAGGUUGGGACCUAUUGAGGUAGAUGGAUCCAACGAACUCACAUGGCUUCCUCUUUGGAAGAUUCGACCCAAGGGGGCCCCUGACAUUCAAAGUAGAGACAAAACAACAAAAAGCCCAAGAGGAAGAAAUUCCAAAACGGGCCAUGGUGGUUCUACAGAUCUCCAGGAAGCACCACCCUCAGCAGCAUCAACCUUAUGAUCUUGGGGACGAAUAAAAUCCCUUACUAAUCAAGCUGAAAAUCUGGUUUCUCAGCAGGGAAUGCCUCGGAGUCCUAAAAAUAUUUUUGUUGCCAUGCUUACUUUGCUUGCUUGCGCUCCCCCCACUAGAGCUGAACUAACUAAUCAUACUUACUGGGCUUAUAUACCCAAUCCCCCUUUACUACAGGUUGUAGAAUGGAUGGAGAAAGGACCAAUCAUAUCAACCAAUGACUCCAUACAUAUACUUUCUCCCUGGAACAUUAAAGGGCCCUCACACCCUGAAUAAGAAGGGAAACUAAUUAAUAUUUCUCUAGGUUAUGAAGUCCUUCCUCUGUGCAUGGGCCCAGCAGAAUUUGCAUAAAUGUUAGCCGACAAACUUGGGUUUUCACCCUGCCUCCAAAAGAGGACUUUUGGAGGUUGCUUGGAUUAUUUACUGCCCUUUCUUUGUCCGUGAACCAUGUUUAUACUACUGAAACUUUAGGGAAAGAACUCAGAACACUAUACAAAGGGUUUACUUGUAAGAACUUUAAAUAUACUCCUGUUCGUUGGGAAAAAUGUCAAACCAAAUCAGGAAAAUUUAUGUUUGUGGCUAAUCAUACAACUGUCUAUUGGGGGCCCCAUGGUAUGUGGUUAUCUAACUGCUCAGGUGAUAUUAACAGCACUGUGUGUGACUAUGCUACUCAAGUAGCAUGGAAGGUUACUAAUACUACAAUGGAGCAUUACCAUGACAAAGGACUUCUUGGGUGGCUUGACAGUGGAACGGUCCCCCCUCGUCCUUGAAUCAUCCUCCAUAAACAUAUUGGGCUUGAAAAAUGGGACAUCUGGAAACUUGCUGUGAACACUGAAGAACUUGGGACUUGGACUGGAUAUUUCACAGGGACCAGUUGUAGUCAUAAUAACUAUUUCUUUCGUUAUAACGAGUCAUAUUUUAUACAAGCUUGUGUCCCCCUUCCUUUUGCUAUAGCUAUAGGGAGUUUACAAUUCAAUAAGACUUUAUGUUCUGUAACUUGUAUAAAUUGCAAAUUAUAUACUUGUCUUAACUCUUCUGUUUCCUUAAGAAAUGAAUCACUUUUGAUUCUUUGAUCAUUCCAUAGUCUGUGGUUACCAAUAAAUCUCCAGCGACCCUGGGAAGAAGGUCCCAUGGCUGGACUUGCUUCCUGGUUACUUACUAAACUGCUCUGGCAAUCUAAAUGAUUCACUGGAUGGCUGAUUCUUGGUAUUUUGGGAUUAAUAGCUAUUUGUACCACUGCUGCUGUCUCUGGUGUUGCUUUACAAACCUCAAUUCAAACACAUAAUUUUAUUCAAAAUUGGACUAAAGAUGCUCAUACUAUGUGGGCCACUCGGGCUCAGAUAGAUGAGGAUAUACAAGAUGAAAUACAAGAACUAAAACCAGCCAUCAAAUGGGUUAGAGAUCAACUAAUAGAUGUACAAAAACAAGUGAUACUAAAAUGUGAUUGGAAUUCUACUCAAUUUUGUGUUACUGCUGUUCAAUUCAAUCAUAAUGCCUACAACAUGGAACAAAUAAAAUUUCAUUUAUAAAACAUACAUGAUAAUGCCUCUCUGAAUAUACAAUUAUUACAAAAAGAAAUCUUUGAAACUUUUUCUAAAAAUCUGCCCUCUUCCACUAAUUUGGAAACUUUAGCUGAACAACUAGCUGAUCAAUUAUCUGGGCUAGAUCCAUGCAGAUGGUUUCAGAGCAUUACUCACAGCAUUGGGUCUGGAACUGUAACUUUGGUGAUUGUCUUGACAAUUAUAUUAGUUGUUUACCACUGCCUUUAUGAAAAAAUUGUUAAAACUAAACAAACUCAAAUGGUCAAGACCCUUUUUACAAAUAUAAUAAAUAAAUAAGGGGGGAUUGUCAGGGAACGUUUAUCAGGAGGAUUCUUAUGUGCUGUUUGUCAUAUAUCCUCUGUUCCUUAUCAGUUCCUGGCAACAGGAAUGAGUGGAAUGGCACACUGCUCCCAGGACUGAGGUCAUAGGAUGAAACACAUGCAUGAAUCUCCUUUAGGAAACAUUCUCCUUAUGACAAAACUGCUUAGUCUCUAUCCUCUUUCUUGAGAUAUGGAUUGUCUCCUGACCUUAUGACCCUUGUUUAUCCCUUGUUCCCUUGAUAACAAUUGCUGUACGUUUGGUUUUCUGAUCUUUAUCAUUGUUGAAAGAAAUUCCUUGUACAACAGCCUAUAUAUACUCAGAGUAAGAUCAUUAAAGCACCCUUGCUCCACCA